CCUACGGGAGGCAGCAGUGGGGAAUAUUGCACAAUGGGGGGAACCCUGAUGCAGCGACGCCGCGUGAGUGAAGAAGUAUUUCGGUAUGUAAAGCUCUAUCAGCAGGGAAGAAAAUGACGGUACCUGACUAAGAAGCCCCGGCUAACUACGUGCCAGCAGCCGCGAUAAUACGUAGGGGGCAAGCGUUAUCCGGAUUUACUGGGUGUAAAGGGAGCGCAGACGGCUGUGCAAGUCUGGAGUGAAAGGCGGGGCCCAACCCCCGGACUGCUCUGGAAACUGUAAAGCUGGAGUGCAGGAGAGGUAAGCGGAAUUCCUAGUGUAGCGGUGAAAUGCGUAGAUAUUAGGAGGAACACCAGUGGCGAAGGCGGCUUACUGGACUGCAACUGACGUUGAGGCUCGAAAGCGUGGGGAGCAAACAGGAUUAGAUACCCGGGUAGUC
rnacentral:rRNA from 1 species